UCCGGUGACUAUACUUAGGAGGUCACACACGUUCCCAUUCCGAACACGACCGUUAAGCUCCUAGGGCCGAUGAUAGUGCAUACCAGCGCGAAAGUAGGUUAUUGCCGGAA
rnacentral:rRNA from 2 species